UUUAAAACAGUAAUUCAUAGUGGGAUGAUCUGUGUGUCAUAAGGUACAUUUGGCAGAUGUUGAGGGUAACUUUUGUGAUCCUGUUUUCAGCUUACUUGGAGUAAAAUUUUCAAAGGUGCCUAAGUGGUUUAGGAGCCGCAGUUGACUUUCCAUAAAACUUAGGCAGCUACAGGCUAGAUCCACAAAGAGACUUAGGCACCUUGUUACCCAGUGCAAUCCACAGCCCUGAGUUAGGCACCCAACUCUGUAUGCACUGCUUGAGGAGAUUUAGGAGCCUAAGAAAGGGAUCUGCAAAAGCCAGCACACAGAGCAAGGAGCUGCCUAAACUAGCCAGUGGGAAAUACUUUGGCACCAAUCUCCAUGUGCGAUUCACAGCCAUGAACCCUCUCCUGGUGUCAGGUGCCUAAGCCCUUUCUUGUACAAAAUGCACUGCCCACACUGCUUUGUAUUGUAAAAAAAUCUAGACUAAUCUAGCAUGUGAAGCAGAUGCAUGUGACAUAUUAUUCAAAAAUCUCUGCUUUACCUGCAGACAGCUAUUCCUGGAACAGUAUGUUGGUGGUGCUCAAUAAUAAUGGCAUUAGAACUAAUACUCUGAGAACUUCCAGUCACCCCUUUCCAGCUGGGGAGCAAGAAUUCUGCACAAGACAACUGCUAACGUUUCAUCAUCAGGGGAUGAUUGAUUUGUGGCUGAAACUCAAAGUAUUUCUGCUAUAUCUUAUACCUGCGGGUUGAAGUAAAAUGAAGGUGAACCUCUAAUGCGGAGGGCUUGACAGCCGUGACUUCAGUCACACACAGUGCAGCCAUGUGCUCUACAGGCUUCCCUCACCCAGCAAUUCAACUGCCCUCAGUUCUUUUCUCAGCCCCCUGUGUCUGGUCCAGUGCUGACCUGUGUGACUCCUGCUAUUCUAGCCAUGGCUGUCGCAACCCCAGCUUUCCUACAGCACAGACAAUUGCUGCCACUUGGGAAAUUUUAGAUCCUGGCCCACCUCAUUCUGCUCCCUUAUUCCAUGGGCCCCAUCCUCAGGAGCGAGGGGCUUGCUGAUCAAUACGGUAGGUGCCCUUUGAAGGCAAUUGCAGGAAACCUCAGUCAACCCUAGCUCCAUGCUAGUCUUGGUUAACAAACUCUUACUUUAUUGACUGCAGGUAAACCCAGGAAUUAACUCAUUUAGUGUGGAUCUAAAGGUGCCCUCUUUCCCCUCUCGCUUAUCAGAAAGUCUCAUAACAGAUCCCAGGUCAGACUUCCUCCACAGCUCUACCAAUGCAUCACAACCCUCUCUGGCAGCAUAUAUCUAUUCCUGAUGGCCACGGGACUAACCUGACUGGCAGUGCAAGCCUGGUAUCUGAGGAAGCAGAAGGUGUCUUAACCAGCCUUACCAGCACUUUCCAUGAGAAACCCAACUUAGCUGCCUCAGAGUAUUGCUGUACUUUGCUGUAUGAUGUGCAUACCAAGAGAAACAAAACCAGACUCACAAUCUGGUCCCCAGUUUCCUAAGGGCUCAAGGGAGAGGGAAGAGAGGGUGGAUAAUCUAUGCCAGGCCUCUACCUGGCAAAGGAUACUUCUGCUUGCACACAGGAGGCAGCUGCAUUGGGUGAUAUGUUUGGGGGAAGGGCAGAACCAAGCUUCCCUGCAACUGUUGUGGCUGCUCUCCCACCCUGCACUGGUACCCAUGACAUGGGCAACAGGCACAAGGGAACGGUGUCCCUUAACCCUGGGUGGCUAUACAGUAAAGGCCACAAUCUGGCCCUAAACAAGCUAAUAUAAUACAAAUGACUGGAACAGGGAGAAGAACACAGUCCAAUUCCGUGUCUCUACUGAGCUAGAACCUUGACACUCAGUGAGCUCACUCAUGGAUUGCUGAGUACAAGAACAAUAAACGCUGAGCUUUCACCUGUCCAUCACAGGUCACCAAACAGUCUCUAUUCUUUUAUGGUAUUUCAACCAUUUAAGACAAUGGGGCUGUGCAGGGCCUAACUCAGUGUUUGAAAUGUUUUAUUUAUUCUGAAAACCUCUUUAUUUUAUCUCCAAAACCUCUAGUGCUGGUAAUUGUCCUCUGAAAACUAAUCCAUGGUGGAACUGAAUUUAUUUAUUAAAAUGCUCAAAAAAGUAA